rnacentral:rRNA from 1 species
AUUGAACGCUGGCGGCAUGCCUUACACAUGCAAGUCGAACGGCAGCACGGGAGCAAUCCUGGUGGCGAGUGGCGAACGGGUGAGUAAUAUAUCGGAACGUGCCCAGUCGUGGGGGAUAACGCAGCGAAAGCUGUGCUAAUACCGCAUACGCCCUGAGGGGGAAAGCGGGGGAUCGAAAGACCUCGCGCGAUUAGAGCGGCCGAUGCCUGAUUAGCUUGUUGGUGGGGUAAAAGCCCACCAAGGCGACGAUCAGUAGCUGGUCUGAGAGGACGAUCAGCCACACUGGGACUGAGACACGGCCCAGACUCCUACGGGAGGCAGCAGUGGGGAAUUUUGGACAAUGGGGGCAACCCUGAUCCAGCAAUGCCGCGUGAGUGAAGAAGGCCUUCGGGUUGUAAAGCUCUUUUGUCAGGGAAGAAACACCGGCUCUAACACAGUCCGGGAAUGACGGUACCUGAAGAAUAAGCACCGGCUAACUACGUGCCAGCAGCCGCGGUAACAC